rnacentral:lncRNA from 1 species
CUUAAACGUGUAGGGACCCUCCUCUCUCCCCGCCAGAUAUCAGCAAUGCGGUUCCGGGAAUCUGCCCAUUCUGAGGAACAAAUGAGGUCCUCCCUUCGGGACGCGCCGGGGCAGCUGCCGGAGGCUCGGCUCGGCCGAUCGCUCGCGGGGCAGCGCUGCGUCGUCCGCACAGCCCGCGGAGGCUCCUGCCGCGGGGAGAGGCCUCCGGGUCCUCGGAGCCCCGCAGCAGUGGAGUGGAGCCCCGCCACCAAGGUGAAGAAACUGAGGCCCAGAGGUGCUAGCAGCAGUGGUGCUUUCCUAUCUUAUCAUCUUGAGUAGUUAUUCUUCUGAAGCUGACCCUUUAUAUAUCACAGCGGCUGACAAUUGUUGGUAACGUAUAUCGUGCAAGGCACUAUGCUAAGUACUUUAUACAGUUUGGCUCCUUUCAAUUCUCUACACAGUGAAGUGUAGGUAGGUACUAUUAUAACCCCUAUUUUAAAGAAGAGG